GAUGAAGUACGCAGCGAAAUGCGACAAGUAAUGUGAAUUGCAGAAUUCAGUGAAUCAUCGAGUCUUUGAACGCACAUUGCGCCCCCUGGUAUUCCGGGGGGCAUGCCUGUCCGAGCGUCAUUGCUGCCCUCAAGCACGGCUUGUGUGUUGGGCCUCCGUCCUCCUCCCGGGGGACGGGCCCGAAAGGCAGCGGCGGCACCGCGUCCGGUCCUCGAGCGUAUGGGGCUUCGUCACCCGCUCUUGUAGGCCCGGCCGGCGCUUGCCGACACAUCAAUCUUUUUUCCAGGUUGACCUCGGAUCAGGUAGGGAUACCCGCUGAACUUAAGCAUAUCAAUAAGCGGAGGA
rnacentral:misc_RNA from 1 species